UUUAUCGGAGAGUUUGAUCCUGGCUCAGGACGAACGCUGGCGGCGUGCCUAAUACAUGCAAGUCGAGCGGAUUGAUGGGAGCUUGCUCCCUGAUAUCAGCGGCGGACGGGUGAGUAACACGUGGGUAACCUGCCUGUAAGACUGGGAUAACUCCGGGAAACCGGGGCUAAUACCGGAUAACUCAUUUCCUCGCAUGAGGAAAUGUUGAAAGGUGGCUUUUAGCUACCACUUACAGAUGGACCCGCGGCGCAUUAGCUAGUUGGUGAGGUAACGGCUCACCAAGGC
rnacentral:rRNA from 1 species